UCUAUAUUAUAACUAGGCAACAAAAUCAAAUAUACACUCUGAGUCUAACUAUUUACAGGAACCAAGUGACUUAACACUUCGUGCCACUUUCAAUCAGAUUGAUUGCUGGCCAUUGAUGUUAAAAUAAUUUGAAGAAUUUAAAUCCUGACCUAUGGGAAAUAUCAAAUACAGAUAUGAUGAUUUCAACGCUAAUUAAAAUGAUAAUGAGCCAUUCCAAGAAGUCUGAUUUCCUAUUCUGCAGAAUUUCCUGAAGAAAGCGAAUAUUAUGCUCCACAAACUUCAACUUAAAAUCAAGACUUGCAAACCUUUGAGUUAAUUCAAAUUCAUCUCUUAGAUAUUCCCAUAUCUGAGCAUAUUUGGCAUCUUUCCAAGCAAUAUCUGAUCUCUCAAAAAGUCCAAGCUUAAGAAUAACAUCAGCAAGAUUAGAGUUUGCCUUCCCCACUAG
rnacentral:misc_RNA from 1 species